rnacentral:rRNA from 1 species
UACGAAGGGGGCUAGCGUUGCUCGGAAUUACUGGGCGUAAAGGGCGCGUAGGCGGCCCGUUUAGUCAGAGGUGAAAGCCCAGGGCUCAACCUUGGAAUUGCCUUUGAUACUGGCUGUCUUGAGUUCGGGAGAGGUGAGUGGAAUGCCGAGUGUAGAGGUGAAAUUCGUAGAUAUUCGGCGGAACACCAGUGGCGAAGGCGACUCACUGGCCAGAUACUGACGCUGAGGCGCGAAAGCGUGGGGAGCAAACAGG